AUGAAACAAAGAGGGGUAAAAAGAAGGUAGAAGCAACGACACGUGCUGGGAGCUGGUGGUUUUUUGUAUAGCCAAAGAUCUGGGGGGCAGUCCAAGGUUGACGGUUCCGGUGAAAACGUGAGAAGCUGCAAGGGAGUUCGCACCCUGAGAAGCACAUUAGGCAGUAAUCGUCAUUGGAAACUUCACUUUUCCUCUCUCUCACAAUGGAGAGGUCAAGCUUCCAUCACUCUCUAGCAUGUUCA